rnacentral:tRNA from 1 species
CAUUAAGUGACUGAAAUUUAAGUAAUGGUCUCUUAAACCAAUAUAUGACAAGUCCAUAAAUGUCCUUAAUG